UACGGAGGGGGCUAGCGUUGUUCGGAAUUACUGGGCGUAAAGCGCACGUAGGCGGCUUUGUAAGUUAGAGGUGAAAGCCCGGGGCUCAACUCCGGAAUUGCCUUUAAGACUGCAUCGCUAGAAUUGUGGAGAGGUAAGUGGAAUUCCGAGUGUAGAGGUGAAAUUCGUAGAUAUUCGGAAGAACACCAGUGGCGAAGGCGACUCACUGGCCCGAUACUGACGCUGAGGCGCGAAAGCGUGGGGAGCGAACAGG
rnacentral:rRNA from 1 species